CCUUCCUUCCUUCCUUCCUUCCUUCCUUCCUUCCUUCCUUCCUUCCUUCCUUUCCUCCUUCCUUCCUUCCUUCCUUCCUUCUAGAUAAAACUCUGAUAAAGCAGAAAUCUACCUACUGUUUUAUACAAGCAGCCUGCCAGUUCAUAAUUUCACACAGGUAUCAUGUCCCUUCCUUCUGUAAUGUCCGGAAUUUAAAGAACUUUAAAAGUGAUGGAAAGGGGCCAAGGCUUUAACUCCAUGCGAUGCCUUUUAAAAUGUUAAUUUGAAAGGGACAUAACCCUCUCGAUUAGAAAGAGUGCCAUGCCCUUUGUCUAUCAUCCCCUAAUUAAGGUUUGUUGUGAUGACAUUGUUCUGUAUGUUUUGUGACUGGAUCUGAUGCUGAUAGAUUUGGGAUAGGGUGGAGUUUUUGAUGAACAGGGCAGAAUUGAAAUUGUCUCCCUCCUGCAUUUGCAAUUUAAAUAUAUCUCAGCAGAAUUAAUUGCUUGUGAUACAAAUGCUUUGUUUCUAAGUCAUAGCUGGAUUCAUGAAGGCUGAUUCUCUUCUCAGCUGCCCAUUUUCUCCAGUAAAUGAUGUCUUUAAAAAAUGCAUUUGUAUUUGUAAAACUCAUGAUUUGUACCAAUGAAAGGAGCAAAAUAGACCUUUUCUCUAAAAUUUUAUUUUAGCUUUCCAUCUUUGGAAACUUUCAAACUUUUAUUCACACAUUUUAUUCUUGUCUCACCUGAUAGAAUCUUAUAAGGACCUUGGAGCAUUUACAUCUGAGCCCUUCUAACCGAUGGUUUAGCAGAGAAAAAAAUGCAAGGUACUGAAAUUUUUUACAUAUGUUUCCAGUGACUGUAGUCAUGGCCCAUCUUUCCAGCCUACUGGGCUCACUCCAUGCUGCUGUCAGGCAGUGAGAGGUUGCUUCCUAAAUUGCAACUUGGAUUCCAUUUUAAACAUCCAUUGGAAGGGAGUCUGUAGGUGCCCCUUUAGAGACCUUCUCUGCUGUCCACUCCCUCCUCCACAUCUUUCAACUUUCCUGCGUGCCUGUCAGAGGCUGAAAUGGUUAAUGGUUUAGAUGUUGUUAAGUUCACCAAAAGACUUUUGUCCACUGUAGCAAACUGCAAAGAAAUAGCAAGACCAUCACUUUGACAGGACUGCAACCACCACUUCAACCAACAGACAUGGAAAUUGCAACUACCAAGUCUCAUCGUUGGAUCCAGUGGGUGAAUUCCAGCUGCAUUUCUGUGGAGCAAGUGCACAAUUUUCCAUCCUGUAGAAACUGGCAAAGAAGAGAACAUAGAAUGGAAAUGUUUUCUGGGCACUGUGCAUGUAUCAUCUCACAGGAUGUAGACAUCCAUACCUAUGACAGAAGCUGUCACCCUGGGCUCUUUAUAUUAAGACAUUUUUAGAGCAUUAUCCUUCCCAUUCUAACAUAAGUCAUAUUAACUAUUUCAUAGAACUUCUUUUUCUUCAAUUUGACUAUAAGAAAAGACUGUGUUGACUUGCUCCAAUUUGCACAUCCACCCAGCAGACCUCUAGCUUUAGGUGUCCUACCCAUGAUGUGUUUUUGCAAACUAAAAAUGCACAGCCUACUGUUGUGUCUUCCUUUUCAGAAGGGGGGAAUAGGAAGAAAUACCUGUUCUAAAGAGUUUUUAAAAUGAAAGCUGAGUAGCAUCUAGGAGACUCAUGAGUUUGACGUGCUGAACUAAGUAUGAGGGCAGUGACAACUUCACUGUAAGAGCUUUAUUUGCAUAGCAUAUUAAAAGUACUAUCUACCUGAGUCCCACAUGGGAGGAACUCUGGACUGUGAAUUUUGGCUCCUGGUUUUCAUUUCUGAGAGAUAAUGAGGAAGAGAAGACACAACAAGAUUUCAUAAAAAGAGGCAAGAAACCCAUGUGGCCUGAUUCAUACUUUUAAUACAGGGCAUGCAUGCUAUUGUAGAACUCCUGAUUAAUUACAUGUUUUCAUCUCACUAGCAACAAAAGCUUCAUGCUAGGGUGAAAAACAGGAUGAACAAUCUCAUCAGUAAAGCUGUGGACAAAUUUAGUUCAUGCAGUUAAAGUCAAAUCUGCAUUCCAUUGAGCUCAGUGAAAGAAAAAAUAACAGCCAAAGAGAACGCUCAAAGACUUUAGUAGGCUUUUAGUCUUUUCACCCUCUGCUUAAUUAUGUUGCCCUCUGUUUAAUUAUGUCUUGGUAGUGUUAUAAUCCUUAGAAACUUCAUCCUCCAGAUGAGUCUGUCCAUAAUGAAUUCUUUUUUAUAUCUUCCUCCAGUACAAUUCUGAAUCAGAACAUAAAAAAUGCAGCCACAGAUUCUCAUGGAGGAUCUGACAGAACAUUGCGAAAGAAAGCUUGAUUUUGUCUUUAUUGCACCACACAUGAGUGCCUCCAUCUCGUUAAUGUAGGAAAUGUGUUAUCUGAGGAAGAGGAGCUCGGAAGCUGGGAACGUCAGUGGUUUAGAGCCCCUUUUUUUCUUUCAUUUUAUCUGUUAGAUGGCAAGGCAAAUUAAAUGUCUCAUCAUGAUGAAAUAACAGCUUUUUCAAAUGUGUCCAUUUGGCAAGAAAACAGUGUGUUUUUGUGAGUGCACUAGCCUCAGUCCCACAAGGGGACCAACUGGCUUCCAAGCUGUAAUAAAGGAAAUGACAAGCUGGGUUAGUUGUUACUGGGCUGUUUUUUUGUGCUGAAAGCAUUCUUUGCUUGGUUUUACAGGGGAUGAAACUUCUCCAUCUAGAAACCUUUGUUCACAACAAUGUUCGCUGUAGAAGCAUCUGCACUGCUUCCUGCCCUUUCUGCAAAACUGCUGAGUCUGCGCUUUCCUCUCCUUGUGGCCUUAUUCUCUUCGUAAACUCCCUCACAGAUGAGAAUUCUGCCACACCGAAUCCAUGAUUUUAUAACACUGCUACUAACUGCUAAUGCCCGUGCCAAUACUUCAGUGCCUUAUAAACUCUUGAAUCUGAACACAUGUGAAAUCCCAGAGUGAAAUUCUAAUUCCAUAUCCCUUUAUCUCCUUUCCUCCAAUAUCAAAUUUUUUACUCCUCUGUCUUAGGUUGCCUCUUAAAGCAGGAGCAUCAAGCCUGCCAGAGUUCUAGAAGUGUUUGAACAACGUUUUCAGGUGCUUGAUGUGAUUCUUGGGGCUGUUCUGUGCAGGGCCAGGAGCUGGAUUUUGAUGAUCCUUGUAGGUCCCUUCCAACUCAGGGUAUUCUAUGUUUCUAUGUUUUUUAUAUUUACAAGGCCCCUUCACUGAAUAUGUAGAAUGUGAAACUGCAGGAGGGACCUGCUGUCCUCUGGGGUCUGAAAAUAAUGACCAAACAGCGUGACCAGCCCCUACCCCUCUCCUGACCAUGAGGCAAAAUCAUUACUAAGACUGUCCUGGUGGAAAGCCAUAUGUGGGGUAUUUUGGGAAUAGACUGGGCAGAUGUGAAAAAAGGUGAAGGAACCAUGAGCCCCAGGGCAACCAAAUCCAGUCAUGCAGUGUGAUAUGAACACAAAUAUUUCAGUCUGAUAUGCAAUUUGAUGCAGUCCUUGUGUAGCUACUGUGCACCACAGCCCAUCUCUAGUCUAGGGAUGACUUUAUCAGUACCCUGAUAAGCUCUUCUCCCAAUUUCUAUUUUUCUGAGGCUUCUAAGCUGAUGAAUUUAAAUAAAAGCCAUUAGCUUGUCCUUUGCUCUCUCUUCCCCACUUUAGACAUUCAAGUACUUUUUAAGAGCACCCAUGUUACAGCUUGGCUGAACAGACCAACAGCCUGUGCCUAAAUGCCUGUGGCCCCUACUGAGCCCCACCUCAAUCAGGAUCAUGCAGGAAUAGUCAGCAUAACCAGAGGUUUAACAGGCCUGCUUUCAACUAGCCCCUGUGUCCCACAGGGACCAGUGUAUCAAAUUGGAACAUCUCGCUCUUUAUCCCUGAGAUAAUUAGGGCAUGCCUGCCCCGUGGAUGUACAGGAACUUGAGCAGCUCUGCAGCUCACUCUGGAGAUGGAAAUGCUGUGUAUUGACUGAAUGCUUAGAUCUUCAACAGCUUUGUCAUCUCUGCACCUUGUUCCAAACUGUGGCAUAAAUCAGCCCUUAAUGAGAGGGAAGAAACAUAUUUAAAGGAUGGAAAAGGAAUCUUAACAGAGUAUUUCAACCCUGCUUCUGCAACUCUUCCUGCAGUUUCACCUUGUUUCUCUUUACUGGAUCUUCAUCACACCUGUAAGUUCUCAAGAAUCAGUAUAACACUGUGGCUAUCAUAAAGACCCAAUAGCUCUGACUGGAUUCCGGGAUAGAUGCAGGUUUGUUUUGAAAUCCACAUAAGUCAAAUAUACUCAUUCUGUAACAACAACACAGGCUUAGAUUUCCUCCCACCUCGGGAGAGGAGAGCAGUGCAUUCAGGCUCUCUGUGAUCAGAUCUGUCAAAGGAAGAUGGAAAUCUCUAAUUGGAAAGACAGGAAUGGCCUCGAACAAGGCAUCACUCAGAAAGGCACCAUGAAAGGACUGGAAAGUGAGGUCAAGGUGAGGUUUGAGCUUUGGUAAAGUGUAAAAUAUUCUGGUGUGCCCCUUUUCUUCCCAAAGUGUACUUCUCUCUCUUGAGUGCAUCAGAAGAUUAUGUGGCAGAAAAACACAUCCAAGAAUAACUGACAUUCUUAUCCUUAACACCCUUAUACUAUGUCAAAUUCAUCUGCAAACGUUUUUUCUGUCCUAUCUACAUAAAAUAUUUAAAUAUAAAAUAUUUAAAUAUAAAAUGCUGUCUAAGCUGGGGGGUUUUUUGCCUUUACGAAAAAAAGACCCAGAAAAUCUGCAUAGAACAAUGUUGCAUUUUUUUAUGUUCUCUCGGGUAGAUACAUUCCUGGAUUUCCUCACAAAUUUCAAUACAAUCUAACAAUUAUAUUUGAAAAUUAAUGCAAUUUUUAUACUUUUCAAUUCCAGCAUGUCUCAUGAUAGAGAAGGUAAAAAAGAAAUUCAGGUGAGAAGGAUGGGUGACAGAGAUUGGUUUAAAGUACCAUUGGGUGAAAAGUUAGCUGCAUCCUGAGGUACUUAGAUAGAAUGGUUUGGGAUGGAAUGGACCUUGGAGAUCAUCUUGUUCCAAUUCGCCAGCCAUGGGCAGGGAACCUUCCACUAGAGGACAAGACAUACUACCAAUUCUCUUAGAAUAAAGCACAAAACAUUGAUGAAGCAGCAGAUCAAAUGGAGGAAGCUCGUCUGUCAGACCGGCUUUCAAAUUAUUGAGAGAAGGAAAUCAGUGUUUCAUGACAAUACACUGGGUACUGCUAACUGUUCAGGAAAUUGUCCUGGUUUGUCCUUACUCUGCUGCUGACUCACUCUUGCUCCUUGAGCCCAUCACUGCAGACAUCUCAGGAUUAUUCAAUUCCUUUAGACAUCUCCAUGACUAAAGUUUGAUUAAAGUGUGCAGAUAACUGAUA